ACUCCUCCGGUGGCCAGAAGGGCGGAGUUAACCAACUUCUACACCGACUCCAGUGGCUCGGAGGGUAGAUAUGUGUUUUACAGGACCGUCUGACCCCUUGUGAGGGUUAAAUUCAUAUUUUCUAAUCUUCUGAUAGCGUUUGAGGCUCUUGGGUCAAAAAUGAUGCGCUUCCUGCUGCUCUUCAGUCGCCAGGGGAAGCUGCGUCUGCAGAAAUGGUUUACGCCCAUUCCAGAACGUGAGAAGAAGAAGAUCAUAAGAGAGAUGACCACCAUGGUGUUAGCCCGACAACCACGCUCCUGCAACUUCCUGCACUGGAAAGACCUGAAGAUCAUUUACAAGAGGUAUGCAAGCUUAUACUUCUGCUUGGCCAUAGAGAACCAUGAGAAUGAGCUGUUAGCCCUGGAGGUUAUCCAUCGAUACGUGGAGCUGCUGGACAAAUACUUUGGCAAUGUGUGUGAGCUGGACAUAAUCUUUAACUUUGAGAAGGCCUAUUUUAUCCUGGAUGAGUUUCUAUUGGGAGGAGAGAUACAAGAAACCUCUAAACAGAUUGUGAAUCGCUGCAUCGAAUCCUCGGACAUGUUACAGGAGAGAGAAGAUCCAGCAGUGUUUGGAUGUGAGAUAAAUACAGAGGGCAGACGGAGGUGAGAAGUCUUCUUUGACAACUCAGGAGCACCACAAUGAAAGUGAAAUGGCUAGAUGGAGAUUAUUUGUUAACACUGACAGUUAAUUUCAAAUGUCUGCUGUCUGCAAAAAUACACAGUAAAGGUAAAUUAAACAGCUUGACAAAUACAUAAAGUACAUAUAUACACAUGCAGUACAGCAGUUUUAAAGCACUUUGUGAUGCUAUAAUUUGCAGUAGUUAAUAUGUUUAAUGGACUACUUUUAGCGAGUAGAUUAUGUUGAUUGUGAAGUUUUGCUUGUGGUCUGAUGCUUAGCCAUUUGUUUUUUAAGUGCCAACCUUUUGUUUUGUCACAUUUGGAAAAUCAGAUGUUGCUAUUAACACUGACAAUGGCUCUGUUGUAUUGAAGUCUCUUGCAAAACAAACAGUGUGACAGGGACACAGAUAUUCUAAUAUCAUAUGACUACAGUCGGCACACAAAGUUCACUGUGAUAUUGUUUUCCAUGUUCACAAUGUUGACUGAAAUACCUCAAAUGACCUCAAACGCCCCCUGGAAAAAGAAAUCCCUUUUAAUAUUAUCACAGGCUAAAUUAUGGUUCAUGCUUUUUUUGAUGUAACAAGAGUGAAUGUUAACAGCAGACUACUGUAAAAAAAAAAAAAAAUAAUAAUAAUGGCGUGAACUGAACAAAAGAAAAUCACCACUACAACUUGCUUUAGGCAGCUAAGCACAGCUGUUAUUGAUAACUUUACAUUGAUGCUGUUUGGCCUUAACAUACACUACCGUUCAAAAGUUUGGGUCACUUAGAAAUGUCCUUAUUUUUGAAAGAAAACCAUUUUUUUCUCCAAUGAAUAUAACAUUAAAUGAAUCAGAAAUACAGUCUAGACAUUGUUAAUGUGGUAAAUGACUGUUCUAGCUGGAAACGACUGAUUUUUAAUGGAAUAUCUACAUAGCGGUACGGCGGAACAUUUCCAGCAACCAUCACUCCUGUGUUCUAAUGCUACAUUGUGUUAGCUAAUGGUGUUGAAAGGCUAAUUGAUGAUUAGAAAACCCUUGUGCAGUUAUGUUAACACAUGAAUAAAAGUGUGAGUUUUCAUGGAAAACAUGAAAUUGUCUGGGUGACCCCAAACUUUUGAACAGUAGAGUAUAUGUAUAUUCACAUUAAGUGAAAUAGGUUUUGCUUAGUUUCUAAGGUUUAAUUUAACGUACUACAAUUUGUCAUACAUUGCUACUUCUGAAUAAAUGUUCCCAGUCCAUAAAAUAGAAGUUGCCUGAUCCUUUAUUAUUUAUUGUUUUGGGUGUUUUUGUUGUAUAUACAUUUUUAAAUCUUAAAUUUGGUAGAUCUCAACUUUGGAUCAUAAUUAUUAACAACACACAGUUAUUUAUGGUAUAUGUGUGCAAUUCACAGUAGUGUUUGUACAUUUUCAAAGAAGAAAAUGUUUACAGGUAAUUACAGUUAUAUGAUGUUUACAGUGGCAACACAAUAUAAACACAGUAUAUCAUUAGAAAGUUACAGCAUUAAACAGUGAACGUCAUAUUUUACUGUAGAUUCACUGUAUAAUACUGUUAAAAUACAGUAAAAUGUCUGUAACAGCACAGCUGCCAUUAAAAGUACUGUAAUUUCUCUGGAACAUAUAUUACAGUGUGCAGCCAGAGGAUCACAUUAUAUUAGAGGUGAGGGAACUGAAGUUGCUGGCUUCAGUUUCAGCCCGAUACUUCAGCAUGCACGUUAACCAGGUCAGGAUGAGGGAGAACAGCGCCAGGAUGCUCGCUACGAACAGACAGACCGGGCCGACCGGAGACGCGAUGUGGCUGAAGUUAUGUACGAAGAUGAGGCCCAGAAACAGGAGCACCACCAUGGACAGGAAGGAGAAGAUGGCGCACACACAGAAGGUGGUGAAGGCGACCUGUUUGCACGUCUCACAGCCGCUCUCCGGGGUGGCCGCGGCGGACACGGAAGGAGCCGUCUGCUGCUCCGCGUCCACCGGCGGAGGCUCUCUGAGCGGCAGCGCCUCGGUCAGCUCCGUGUUGUCCGGGAGGUUGAGAACCCGAUAAUCCGGUACCGGUGUUCGGUGGCGACACACGGGGCAAGCGACCCUCCAUCCUCGACCCUCCCGAAAGUGCAAAGUGUCGAGACACUCCAGGCAGAAGGUGUGAGAGCAGCCCAGCACUUUGGGCCGGUGGCGCUCCAGGUCGAAGUAGUUGUAGCAUAUUUUACACUCGUACUCGUCGUCGGGCGGAGCAGCGCCACAGUCGUCUCCCGUAGUGUCCGCCUCCGCCAUGUUCCGUCUGAUCAGGCGGCAUAAAAAUGCUUUAUUUCACCUCACAUGUCCGUGAUGAUCAGAUUCCACACAUAUACAAUGGGAGCGUUUCUCCAGGAGAAAACAGCCGGUUGUACAGUGAGCUGGACUCUCUUCCUGCAGGUCCCGGUCACACUCCGCUUCAUCCGGUUCUUGCGUUCACAGACUUGUUGUGUAACCGCCUGGAGCGCAACCCGUGGACAGUCUUCAUCACGACCAUACCUACCAGAACUAACCGUUUAGUCUAUCCAAUCGAUGGACUUGUUCAAAUCGAUUUCCCAAUUUGGUCCCUGUCACCUGGUGGGUUUGUCACAAGCGUGGGUCAUGUGCAUAAGGUGGAUAUAAUGGGACCAUUUGACCGUAUAAUUAGAAUUAAGCGCCUGCAGUGACAGUAAAGUGCACCGGGCUGCGUCCCUGUGGGUUUCAGCACCACAGCAGUGGACAGCGCCGAGCAGAGCGGUCAGCGGUGACACCUUCAGCUGCAGCUCAGCACCGGUGUGGUUCAACUUAAAGCUGCAUAGGCUCAAUACCAAAGACCUUUGUAGUUGUCAAUAUGCAGGUUUUGAUUCCCUGAUUCAUGUACACAUUUACAAAAUUGACUUUUGCUACAGGCUGCAGGUCAAGCAUUUAGAAGUUGUCCUUUCAAUGGAAUUACCGUGGAUAUAUGUAAUAUAAGAUUCAGGUUUAUUGUCAUUGCACAGAGUACAAUGAAAUGCAUUCUUUUUGCAGUUUGUUUAGAAGCUGUGGGUCAGUCAUCCUGCUGCAUCUGUCAGUGACCUUGCUCAAGGGCCCAACAGUGGCAGCUUGGCAGUGCUGGUUUAACCCUCAACCUUCAAAUCUGUGGUCAAACCCCUUUUUUAUUCCACAUGUAAAACUGAAGUCUCUCUCUUCCUAUAGCUUACUGUCAACUGUACAUACAUUCCACUUAUAAGCUCAUUCUGCAUCUACAGAGACUAUUUACCUGUAGCACACAGAUUUUAGAGGUUCUGCUACUUUUUUGUGUGACCGCUUCUGUACAUAUAUUUAUUUAUUUAACCUUUAUUCAGUGAGGGAGUCCUUUGAGAUUAAAAUCAAAGGAAACCUGACCAAGAAGGCACACCUUUACAAUAGUACAAAGAAUUAUGCAAUCAGUCAUGACAAAAGUUCACACAAGACAAAAGUUUAAUUUAGCUUUAGUCAUAUUGUGCAACUUCAUAAGAUAUGUCAUUUCAAAGCAAUUCACACAGUAAUGAAAAGACUUUACACAAUCAGACAAACUCAAAGAGUCCCCUGGAUUCCGUUUGGGCAAAAACUUGACAGUAGUGGGAAGAAAACACUCCUUUUACCAAGUAAAGCUGCCAACAGAAAAAGGCUCAGGAAGGACAGUCAUCUUCCUCGGGUGGUUGGGGAGAGGAUAAAGGGGAGAGAGAAAAGGAUCGUAUAUAGAGAACAGAUAAACAAUGCACAAGCUACCAAACACCCAGGAGGGUGGUAGCUAGUAGCCACAGAUCAGAAAUAUGUAGCUCCACAGCCACAGUUACCUACAGAGAGGACAAAAUCAACUAGGAGAGAGAGAAGACACAAAGUCAAUGACAUGCAAUAGAGACUUUUAAAUGUAUAGAGAGAGAAAGUAGAAGUAGAGGAGUAGAGGAGUAGUAGAGGAGAAGUGUUUAGUGCAUCACGGGAAGUCACUUAGCAGCACAUCAAAAUAACCAAAGGAUUAAUGUACACAAAAUUCAGUUUACUUCAGCUACACAUCGUUUGAUCAGGAUUUUGAACUCUCUCAGCUUAAAGCAUUAGGCUGUAAUGUGUCCGUAAGGUUCUUCAAUGACCAGUGUGGAAAAUAUAAGAAGUUUGUUCCAACAGCUCGAGAUCAAGUUCUUGGCAGCCUGUAUAGCAGCCAUUUAGAUGAACAUGAAUGAACUUGAUGAAGGCCAAGAAACCAGAUAAAGUACACUGUGAUGUGUAUCAGACCAUAAAUUAGAUAUAAAAAGUACAGAACUGUGGAACACAGAGUCAAGACAGCUAGUGGUGUGUCUUAUAUAUAGUGUCACCAUAGUGAAAAACAUUUAAGAACUAAUUAUGUUAAAAACCCCUGACUUGCAUUACUCAUGUUGAGGCAACUCAAUAGGCAUAAUUUUGCCCCUGUUGCCAAGGCAACCUAUGGCACACCUUUAUGUCUAUGCCGUUUAUGUUUAAAAUCUGCAGUCCUUAAAAGUUAAACAGCUUCAAAUCCUGUAACAUCUGCACGUGGCUUUAAAAUGUACGUUGAACGGUUCUUGUGAAAGGAGAAAUAACCUUAAAACAGUCUUCAAUUCACUGCAAGUAAAAAUCCAUCAUGAUAUUUUAAAGAUGAGAAACAUUUUUUUCCCCAAUCAGACAUGUUGAUUGAGUGCUGAUUAAACACCUCUCUGCUACGUGGAAAGAAUGCAGUACUAAAGUUGUUAUUUGAUGGCACAAUAGCUCAUAUUUUCUGAGAGAAGGCUGUAUUACCAUCCCCUCUCUGCGUAUGAAAGCACAAAGAUACCAAUGAUGAAAUCAAAUCAGAUAAAUAUCCCUGUCAAAAGAGACUGGUGAGUUUUGUGGUUUCAAACAGAGAACGUAGUCUAUGAGCUGCAGGAUGUCUCUUUACAUUGAGCUACUAUGUGCCCUCUUGUGGCUGGAUUCAUGGAUGCAUUGUUGCGCAGUGAUAUUCCAUAGUGCUGGUAUGCAGAGUUCUGUAGUGGCAUAUUGUGUCUGUAAGCUACAUGCAGUUAAUUAAAUUGCUCUCCAUGUCUGCAUAUUUCAUAAAUAAAAUAAUUCUUGAGUA